CUUCUUUUUAUUUCUCCCUUUAUUGAUCAAGAAUACUGAAAUUAAUUCAAGACGAUAGAUUUUGGGAAGUCGGAUCAAAAACAAAAUUGACAAAUAAAAAGAAAACACCACUAUAUCAGAGAACAAAAUCACCUAAGUAAAACUCUGGAGUAUUCUUAAUCAGCAUAGAUGAAGGGUCAUAAAAGCUAUAUUAUGAACAUUGAUAGGGCAUCACUGCCUUUUAGAUGCUCGCUAAUAAUAAAGGGACUACCUGUUACAUGAAUACUUUGGGUGUUUUUAGUAUGACGAAUGUCAUUUUUCGUGAAAAUACUUUCUAUGACGAAGACAUUUUCUGGUGUUUGGUUACCAUACGAGAACACUUCCCAUCAAAAUGGACAUGGAGAAAAUGACUUCCAUAACUUAUGAGCGGAAGUCAUUCUCCAUAGAACUAUCUUGACUUUUAAAUUUAUA
rnacentral:lncRNA from 1 species